GACGUAGGGCGCGAGCGUUGUCCGGAUUUAUUGGGCGUAAAGAGCUCGUAGGCGGCUUGUCGCGUCGUUCGUGAAAACCCGGGGCUCAACUCCGGGCUUGCGGGCGAUACGGGCAGGCUAGAGUUCGGUAGGGGAGACUGGAAUUCCUGGUGUAGCGGUGAAAUGCGCAGAUAUCGGGAGGAACACCGGUGGCGAAGGCGGUUCUCUGGGCCUUACCUGACGCUGAGGAGCGAAAGCGUGGGGAGCGAACAGG
rnacentral:rRNA from 1 species